rnacentral:rRNA from 1 species
CCAUCACACAGGUGCUGCAUGGCUGUCGUCAGCUCGUGUCGUGAGAUGUUGGGUUAAGUCCCGCAACGAGCGCAACCCUUGUCCCUAGUUGCUACGCAAGAGCACUCCAGGGAGACUGCCGGUGACAAACCGGAUGAAGGUGGGGAUGACGUCAAGUCCUCAUGGCCCUUAUGGGUAGGGCUUCACACGUCAUACAAUGGUCGGAACAGAGGGUUGCCAAGCCGCGAGGUGGAGCCAAUCCCA